UUCGGGGAGCGAGUACAGCGGCGCACGGGUGAGUAACACGUAUGUAACCUACCCUGGGGAUCGGGAUAACCUGUCGAAAGACGGGCUAAUACCGGAUAAGACCACGGGAGCCUCGGCUCCUGAGGUAAAAGAUGGCCUAUGCUUGCAAGCUAUUACCCCGGGAUGGGCCUGCGCACCAUUAGCUAGUUGGUGAGGUAACGGCUCACCAAGGCGAAGAUGGUUAGCUGGUCUGAGAGGAUGAUCAGCCACACUGGGACUGAGACACGGCCCAGACUCCUACGGGAGGCAGCAGUGGGGGAUAUUGCGCAAUGGGCGAAAGCCUGACGCAGCCGACGCCGCGUGGGUGAUGAAGGCCUUCGGGUCGUGAAGCCCUGUCAGGAGGGACGAAACCUCGCCGACCUAAUAUGUCGGCGACCUGACGGUUCCUCCAAAGGAAGCACCGGCUAACUCCGUGCCAGCAGCCGCGGUAAUACGGAGGGUGCGAGCGUUGUUC
rnacentral:rRNA from 1 species